GAUGAACGCUGGCGGCGUGCCUAAUACAUGCCAGUCGAGCGAACAGACUAGGAGCUUGCUCCUCUUACGUUAGCGGCGGACGGGUGAGUAACACGUGGAUAACCUACCUAUAAGACUGGGAUAACUUCGGGAAACCGGAGCUAAUACCGGAUAAUAUCUUUAACCGCAUGGUUCAAUAGUGAAAGACGGUUUUGCUUUCACUUAUAGAUGUAUCCGCGCCGCAUUAGCUAGUUGGUAAGGUAACGGCUUACCAAGGCAACGAUGAGUAGCCGACCGGAGAGGGUGAUCGGCAACACUGGAACUGAGAAACGGCCAAGACUCCUACGGGAGGCAGCAGUAGGGAAUCUUCGGCAAUGGGCGAAGGCCGGACGGAGCAAGGCCGCGUGAGGGAUGAAGGUCUUCGGAUCGUAAAACUCUGUUAUAAGGGAAGAACAAAUGUGUAAGUAAAAAUGCACGUCUUGACGGUACCUAAUCAGAAAGCCACGGCUAACUACGUG
rnacentral:rRNA from 1 species